rnacentral:misc_RNA from 1 species
UUGAAUAAAUCUGGCUUGGUUGAUGCUGGUCUUUUCGAAGACAUGUGCACACCUUGUCAUCUUUAUAUCUCCACCUGUGCACCUCUUGUAGGCCUGGAUUCAACUUUCCGAGGAAACUCGGUUGUGAGGAAUUGCUUAAUAGGCUUUCCUUGUUCGUUUCCAGGGCUAUGUUUUCAUAUACACCUUAUGAAUGUAACAGAAUGUCAUUAUUAGGCUUAAUUGUCUUAUAAACUAUAUA